UUUCCGUAGGUGAACCUGCGGAAGGAUCAUUAGUGAAUAACCGAGCGGCCAGGUCUGUCUCUGACCCCACUGUGCACCCACGCCCGAGGGCCUAUUCACCCAUCCAGCUCUCCUCUACGUCCACCACCGCGACGAUCCCACACUGUCUACAUCGGAGCGCUGCUCUCUCUUUCACACAAACAACGCAGGCGGUGGAGAAUGUACUCUUUUGUUUUGCGGUCACGCAAUCUAUACAACUUUCAACAACGCAUCUCUUGGCCAUCGCAUCGAUGAAGAACC
rnacentral:misc_RNA from 1 species